rnacentral:rRNA from 1 species
GACGAACGCUGCCGGCGUGCCUAAUACAUGCAAGUCGAGCGGACAGAAGGGAGCUUGCUCCCGGAAGUUAGCGGCGGACGGGUGAGUAACACGUGGGCAACCUACCCUGUAGAUCGGGAUAACAUCGAGAAAUAGGUGCGAAUACCGGAUAAUCAUUUGAAGUGCAUGCUUCGAAUGUAAAAGAUGGCUCCGGCUAUCACUACGCGAUGGGCCCGCGGCGCAUUAGCUGGUUGGUAGGUAAUGGCUUACCAAGGCAACGAUGCGUAGCCGACCUGAGAGGGUGAUCGGCCACACUGGGACUGAGACACGGCCCAGACUCCUACGGGAGGCAGCAGUAGGGAAUCUUCCGCAAUGGACGAAAGUCUGACGGAGCAACGCCGCGUGAGUGAUGAAGGUUUUCGGAUCGUAAAGCUCUGUUGUUAGGGAAGAACAAGUGCCGUUUGAAUAAGGCGGCACCUUGACGGUACCUAACCAGAAAGCCACGGCUAACUACGUGCCAGCAGCCGCCGCAGUAA